rnacentral:ncRNA from 1 species
CUUACAAAUAUUUGUGACGGUGCUGACUGAAUGACAUCUUUUCACAUUCAGUUGGCUUAAAAGGGAACCGUGUGUAAAUCACGGGCUGACGGGCAACUGUAAGUUGGGUGAAUGGUAGGCAUCAAUUCACGGUUUAUCCUAUCCAUUCACUAUGCUGAUACUACAAUAACCACUGCCAGUAGCAGGUGAAAGCCACAUUGGCGGGAAGGUGCGCAGCAAUCAACAAGCCAGGAGACCUGCCGUAACGAAACUAUGUUU